GGCCUGGCGUGCUCUGGUCCAUGGGGUCACGAAGAGUCGGACACGACUAAACGACUAAACAACAACAACUAGAGAAACUAUACUGGCCCUUCCUUGUUGUCCUUUCGCCAGCAGAUGCAGUGAAUCAGCAAAAGAGAACUAAAGGGGAGGGGACUGAUAUCCCCAAUCUCUCCUGCUCCCUAAUUUGACUGAUUUUUCCUGGUCUCUGAUUCAUCUGAUCUCGUUUUCCCUUCCCUCUCUCCAUGGUUUCUGCCCAAAAAUGGUUGUUCUCGAUCAGGAAAGCACA